AUGCGUUCAGCUCGCCACCUCCACCUCCCGGUCUGGGCCCUCCUUCUCCUCCUGCACUUCUCAGCCUUCGUCCCGGGAGCCAGAGGACAGCAAGAAACCGACGAUGAGUCGGAGUUCAGCUACGACUGCGGGUCGGAGAACGGGCCGGAGAACUGGGGCAAGAUCAAGGAGGAGUGGGCGACAUGCGGCACCGGGCGGAUGCAGUCGCCCAUCGACCUCUCCGACCGCCAUGCCGCACAGACGCCGAACCUCGGGUACCUCAACCACUCCUACCGCUCUGCCAAGGCCUCCAUCGUCAACCGUGGCCAUGACAUCGCGGUGACGUUCCAGGGCGAUGCCGGGAGCUUGUGGAUCAACGGCACUGCUUACCACCUCACGCAGGUACACUGGCACUCCCCCAGCGAGCACCAUCUAAACAGCCACCAGUACAGCCUGGAGCUCCACAUGGUUCACCUCAGCACCGAGAACAAGGCUGCCGUGAUCGGCCGCCUCUAUAAGAUCGGUAGGCGCGACCAUUUCCUGCACAAGCUAGAGCCUUACCUGCGGAGGAUGGCAGGCACGAAGGAGAAGGAGGAGAACGUCGGCGUGGUGGAUCCCUGGGAGGCGAGGGGCGAUGGUGAAGCCUACUACCGGUACACGGGCUCCCUAACCACGCCGGCGUGCGGCGAGGGGGUCAUCUGGACCGUCAUCAAGAGGGUUGCUACCGUGUCGACUCACCAAUUGAAGCUUCUCACGGACGCUGUACACGAUGGCCUUGAGAUGAACGCGAGACCCCUUCAGAAGUUGAAUGGCAGAGAUAUCAGCCUUUUCUGCGCUCAUGAUGACCACGAACGCUAUUACGCUGCUGCUGAUUAUUAA
rnacentral:rRNA from 1 species